GUUUGAACUUGAGCAGCUAGGAUGUGUUUGGGGAUUUUUCUUUAUUAUAGAGAGAAUUCUUCUGACAUCAGUUGUGGAAGUCUUCCUUGGCCUGCCAGUCCAUUUGCGAUUAGUAAGCUCACCAGUGCUCUCUUUCUUCUUGAUGAUGUUCCAAACAGUUGAUUUUGGUAAGCCUAAUGUUUGGCUCAUGCCUCUAACAGUUUUAUUCUUGUUUCUCAGUCUCAUAAUGGUUCAUUUGACUUUAAUUGGCACAACUUUGGUCCCCGUGUUGAUAAACAGCAAUAAAAGUUUCAAAAGGUGAUGGAAAGUGGAGGAAAGACUAGGUGCUGAGAGCUCUCUUAGACCUGCAUGAAGGAGGCAAUUAAACACACCUGAGCAAUUACAAACAUCUGUGAAGCCAUGUGUCCCAAACAUUAUGGUGCCCUGAAAUGGGGGGGAUAUGUAUAAACACUGCUGUAAUUUCUACAUGGUGAAACCAAAAUGUAUAAAAAUGGCUUUAUUUAAAUCUGACAAUGUACACUUUAACCACGUGUGAUUUAUUAUAUUACAAAUCUCAAAUUGUGGAGUACAGAGGCAAAUAAAUAAAUGAUGAGACUUUGUCCCAAACAUUAUGGGGAGCACUGUAUGUGAUGGGUGACGUUUUUGGGUCGGGACUAUAGAAGGGCCCAUCCUUUUUCUCCAAAGACGCUGCUCGACCAGCUGAAUGAGUUAUUCCAGCAUCGAUGAUGGACACAAAAUGCUGGAGUAACUCAGCGGGACAGGCAGAUUAUCUGGAGAGAAGGACUGGGUGAUGUUUCAGGUCGAGACCCUUCUUCAGACUCAGGACUUCCAGCACUUUGUGCCUAUUCUGAAGUUGAGCACUGGAAUUGGUCACUGGCGCUGAGUUAGAUUUAGCUCUUAGGGCUAAAGGAAUCAAGGGAUGUGGGGGGAAAGUAGGAACAGGGUACUGAUUUUAAAUGAUCAGCCAUGAUCAUAUUGAAUGGUAGUGCUGGCUUGAAGGGCCGAAUGGCCUACUCCUGCACCUAUUUUUCUAUGUUCCUUCUAUGUUUCUAAGCCAAUACGCAUCCCUCACAAGCAAUACUGAAAACACAUUAUCUGCGUGCUGCAAUUUAUUGAAUCUUCCAUGGUAUGAACUCCAGCCAGAUUUCCUCCAAUUUGCCAUAUUACAUGUUAAAUUGCCAUGUUAAAAAUAUAUAUAUAAUAUAAAGGGGGCAUGGGCUUUUUCCGGGUGGUACGUAAAAGGCGCUAUGUAAUUGAACAAACAUAGAGUGCUGGAGGAACUCAGCGACUCAAGCAGCAUUGUGGGGGGGAAAUUGACAGAAGACGAUUCCGCCUUCAGCAGACUGACAUUGAAGUAUUUUUGUUCUGUUCCGUAUUUUUCGCUCUUAAUAGGCAGGAAUCGAGUCCGCCUAUUUCUCUGCGGCGAUUUAUUGAUUCGAAGAGGUUAAUAACAACGCUACGGUGUUUCCAAAGAAAAUAGUUAGGACUGAAACAUAGCGCUCGUUUCCUUGUUGAGGAGUGCCCUGAAAGACGCUGCUCUGGCUUUUAACAGCAUGUCACUCAAACAGCGACAGUUGUGCGUUGCUAAUAGCAAUGUGUUGGAUUUGGAAACCGGUGCACGCAGGCUAGAAAGGUCUUGGCCAGUAUCUUUGGUCUAGGCUACUGGACUCAGUGGCGGCUUAAUUGCAGGGAGUGAAAUUGUACUUCCUCUUUUACAAUCCGUUCCUUUUUACUGAACACGAAGUCUGAUUUGCCCGUCGGGAGGAAGACUAUUUAUUGGACUGUUUUCGAAUUCAGAGCGGCAUCUGUCAAUCUUUUUUUGUGAUGAUGAAGAGGACCAAGUUACAGUAACCACGGAUUGGAGUCGCACACCACGAUUGAAAUUUCAUCAAGUGAAAUGCAACGAAACGUCCGUCGUCGUUGCCGAAACAAUCACCCCGCUCAGUGACUUUUGCCAUUACAGGGCACUGAAAAAGUUUCAGCCAUCAUUUGUAAACAAAACAGCAACAGAAAAUAUGAGGUGUCCCCGCUAUUCUAGCAACCUCGCGUCAACAGCACAAUUAAAAAUAAAACAAUAACAUUGAUUUCAGUUUUUUUUAAUUCAAUUACAUGCAUAAACGUUUCUCACAAUGUAUAGUGAAAAUAAAUAAACAGAUUAGAAACAUAAUACUUUUAUGAAUGUCGAACUGUUGUUAUUUGAUAGAUGUCUAAUUGUAUUUCACUAUUAUACCACGAAAACAACGUAAUGAAAUAAUACAAUUCUAUAUACUGUUUUUUUUUUCAUUCCGAUAUUGACACAACUUGAAAAGUAAAUAUCGUGAAAUUAAAGCAAAAAUAACCUCACAAUAUAUUUACAUUUCUAAUAUUUACAUCCCAUUCAAAGCGGAAUAAAAACACUAUUUACAUUAUUUCCGUGUACCAAGUUCCUAACGUUACAAAAAUGAUCAAGGUAUUUUGUUGCAAAGUUGUCGGUUACUAAUUCAGAUAUGCAGCAUACCUUCUCUGCAAAAUAAACAUUUCCUUCAUAGUUCCAAACCGUCCUCAGGCCCAACAUUUGGGUUGAUGGAGGGAACAGCUCGAACUUCCCCUGAUUAAGAAAUCUUCGGCAAUUUAUUCUGUUCUUUACUGCCUAAUACGACCCAGUGCAGGUGGCCGGCUGCACCAACACUGAUUCUUUUCAAAAGCGCGGCCUCCCUUAUAGUCAAGUACCAUAUAAUUAAUUUUAAGUUACUCUACGCACCGUAUUAUUAAGAUCAAAAUCAAAAAGCAGUGUCAAAAUGGAGUGAUUAGCAUAUAGUCUUUUCGUCUUUUGUUGUCGCACAGUUGCAAGGGACAUUGCUUUAAUCCCAAAAUAUAAACAUUCAGGUUAAUGUGCAUGAGCUAGUAAGACUAUAUUUAACAUUACAAAAAAAUGUUUAAUAGCUACAAAAUAUAUCCGUCAAUGCCGCUUCUAAAAAGAAAACAGUCGCGUCCUCUACUAACCAGACUGCAGAAUCUUUAGUAAAAAGGCAGACGAAUCUGAGUAUUAUAGCAUCAUUCACUCAUCUUUGCAGCGACGCUUUAGUUGUUUUCUUACAACACUAUAUUCUAAUGGUUUAAUAUUAAACAUACUAAACCUUGCCUUGUAUAUCCCUUCAGACAGAGGGUUAGAGUUAGAACAGGCAAUUCGUUCUAAAACAUUGCUGGA